rnacentral:rRNA from 1 species
UACGAAGGGUGCAAGCGUUAAUCGGAAUUACUGGGCGUAAAGGGUGCGUAGGCGGUUGUUUAAGUGUGUCGUGAAAUCCCCGGGCCCAACCUGGGAAUGGCGAUGGAUACUGGGCAGCUAGAGUGUGUCAGAGGAUGGUGGAAUUCCCGGUGUAGCGGUGAGAUGCGUAGAGAUCGGGAGGAACAUCAGUGGCGAAGGCGGCCAUCUGGGACAACACUGACGCUGAAGCACGAAAGCGUGGGGAGCAAACAGG